ACUCACCGAGGUUGACGACCUUGAGCGCCGUGAAGAAGCGGUUCUGCCGGGCCAGGUCCUGCCAGGGAGCCUUGGAGCAGUGGUACUUGAUGAAGGGGAAGCAGCCGGUGCGCAGGACGUGGUAGUUGGCGCCCUGCACCGGCCAGUUGAAGUGCGAGAGGCCGAACUGGUCGUUGCGGACGGCGCUGUAGGGCACGCAGAAGGAGGUCCAGUGCGGCAGGCGCCGCUGCAGCAGAUGCCGCGUCAGCACCUCCGAGGCGCUGGGCUUGGGGCGGGCGGCGGCGCGCGAGGCCCACGGCCUACACAGCAGCAGGCGGAGCGCGACCUCGUGGGCCCUCCUCAGGGCCUCCAUGGCCCGCCGCGCCGGGGACGCAGGCUGGUGUCCGCAGCCGCUGGCGCGCAAGCGCGCCCCCGGGCGAGCGCCGGGAAGGCCAACCGGCGCCGCGCGGGUGCCCGAGAGCCCCCGGUGUGCGGCGGCGCGUGCGCACAGCGGCCCCGUGGCCUCCCGCUGGGGGUGGAGUCCGGGGGAUGGGAAGCGUGAGCUGCGCGAGGCGGAGGGUCACCUGCGUCAAGGAGCUGGUUUUGAGUGGCCAGGUGUGACCUCACGCCGUCAUUAGUAACUCGGGCAGGGGAGGGAUUCGGGGAGGUCUCAUCAAUUUGGGCCUGAGGAAAAUUCAGGUGGAAGACAAUUAAAUAACUAACCACCUCCGCAAGGUGCAGAACUCAAACCCAAGUCUCCCUCCCACGCCCUGGGCUCCAGGGAAGCCCUUGGGUGUUGUUGUUGAAACAGGACGAGGCGUGACCCCGGGUCUGCGUUGUUUGGCGUGGGUUCUCACUAUGUUGCUUAAGCUGGUCCAGAACUCAAGCCAGUCUCUCACUUCAGCCUCUUGAGUCGUUGGGAUUACAGAAGCCACCAUGUCCAACUGUAAGUUCAAAUUUUUUAUAUUAACUUUAUAGAUAAAAAACAAAACAAUGAAACUUCAGUGUGUUGUUGUCUUGGAUUUUCUUUUGUUUUGAGCAGAAAGGGGAUUCAUUGGAGGAAAAUUAGGUAGCCCAAAUAGUAAACAAGAAGUCUAGAGAACCAGGCUCAGAAAAUGGGAAGGAACGAGGAGAGUCCGAACAGCAAAGACAUAGAUAAGACCAACAGGAACUAGUCUGGCGAGCAUGCCAUUGCUGGCCCCACUGCCACAGGACUCUUGAUCCUGUUGCUUGCAAAAUGUUGAAGCUGGGGGUUGUGGUUGUGAAAGUGGAUCCUUUGAAUUGAGUUGUUCUUAUCCCCAGCUAAAACAGUGGAAAAGCCAGGGGGAGAAAGCACUCAGGACAUAUGACAUUACUUUAGAAAUGUAGUUCUCGGCCGGGUCCAGUGACUCACGCCUGUAAUCCUAGCACUUUGGGAGGCUGAGGCGGGCGGAUCACGAGGUCAGGAGAUCAAGACCAUCCUGGCUAACACGGUGAAACCCUGUCUCUACUAAAAAUACAAAAAAUUAGCCGGGCGUGGUAGCGGGCGCCUGUAGCCCCAGCUACUCGGGAGGCUGAGGCAGGAGAAUGGCGUGAACCCGGGAGGCGGAGCUUG
rnacentral:lncRNA from 1 species